AGAGUUUGAUCCUGGCUCAGGACGAACGCUGGCGGCGGCCUAAUACAUGCAAGUCGAGCGGACCGAACGAGAGCUUGCUCUUGUUCGGUCAGCGGCGGACGGGUGAGUAACACGUGGGCAACCUGCCCGCAAGACCGGGAUAACUCCGGGAAACCGGAGCUAAUACCGGAUAACACCAAAGACCGCAUGGUCUUUGGUUGAAAGGCGGCUUCGGCUGUCACUUGCGGAUGGGCCCGCGGCGCAUUAGCUAGUUGGUGAGGUAACGGCUCACCAAGGCGACGAUGUCGUAGCCGGCCUGAGAGGGUGACCGGCCACACUGGGACUGAGACACGGCCCAGACUCCUACGGGAGGCAGCAGUAGGGAAUCUUCCGCAAGGACGAAAGUUCUGACGGAGCGACGCCGCGUGAG
rnacentral:rRNA from 1 species